CUGGGGGCGGUACAGCUGCAUCCGGGGCUCUUGGGCUUGUCCAGUAACCUAUGCAGGUCUGCCCUGCCUCAGGCCAAUGCUGAUGUCUUAACAAGAAUGGAAAGAAUACUGAUUGUUAGUGGUUUUGAAUGAUACCUAGCUUCAAGCAAAGGUGCAAGAUGAGAAAAGAGGCUGUGGUGAGAAAAGAUUGUAACAGGACCUACUUAAAAGGUCAUUUGGGAAUGGAACAUGAAGAUAGUAAAGAAAAGAAUUUCCUUUUCUUGAAGAACUGCAUUGGACACUCUCUAUAUAAUGUCUCAUUUCACCAUUAUAAAGUCUGUUGACUCUGAAAUUGUUUUUGAAAGAUGCAAUUAAUAUUGCAUUUGGACUAAGUGAUAUAUUGGGGAAGGAAAUAAGACUAUGAAGGAGACAAGAAGUAUGCCAUCAAGAACUUGAAAGAACCUCAAACCUUUUAUGAUAUAAUGUAGUCCUUAUUCCCUUUGCCAAUUUAUUUUAUACUCUAGUGAAAUUACUUUCUGAUUUGAAUCUUUUCUUUUUCCUUCCUAUCUUCCAUACACAUAAUAAAGACA